CACGUAGGGCGCGAGCGUUUGUCCGGAAUUAUUGGGCGUAAAGAGCUCGUAGGCGGUGUGUCGCGUCGGCCGUGAAAACCUGGGGCUUAACUCUGGGCGUGCGGUCGAUACGGGCAUCACUGGAGUUCGGCAGGGGAGACUGGAAUUCCUGGUGUAGCGGUGAAAUGCGCAGAUAUCAGGAGGAACACCGGUGGCGAAGGCGGGGUCUCUGGGCCGAUACUGACGCUGAGGAGCGAAAGCAUGGGGUAGCGAACAGG
rnacentral:rRNA from 1 species